rnacentral:lncRNA from 1 species
CAUCUGUAUAGCGGGACAGGAUGUCACAGAUGUAGAGAUUCAACAGGAUGAGAGUGCCUGAGCUGUGACGGGUGCCCAGAACAUGAUCUCAGGAACACAUAUCUCCUUUUCCAGCCGGAAGUACCUGAGAGAGACCCCAGAAGGUGGAUAAGACUGCAGAGAGCAGGGAGCAUGAAGCACCUUGCCCAAGGUCUCACCAGGCAAGAGAAGGGCGGAGAAGGGCGGCUUCUUCAUGGAUUGUAAAUCCCCAAAGCGUGCAAACAUCUGCCCCCAUCUCCCUGGAGGUGGCCUGUUCUCCACGCCACCCUCACAGGCUGCCUGGCGGACUCUCCUCACAGCACUGUGCUUCCCGGGGCCCACUUGUACAGGCCCCAUGCGAGAAGGACCUCGGGCAGUGUAUAAUCCUCCAAGGGCCCACAGGAACAGCAGUGACAACUGUGUUAUGAAGCACCUACUAUGUGCUGGGGACAAGAAUGGAACAAGAAGACAUGCUUUGCCCUCACCCCUGGAGGGCAGCUUCCAGCCAGGGAGGCAAAUACCUCCUCCCCAGACUCCUUCCACAGAUCCCCAAACUCUGCCUCUCUCCUUCAGAUCCCUGCUCAGAUGUCACCAGCUCUGUGCAGCCUCCCUGCCACCAAGUCUAAAAUUGCCAUAGUCCCCUCAGUUCCUCACCCCUCUCCCUGCUUUCUUUGUCUGUCUCAUCCAUGAGGAUGUGCCCUCUGGGAAGGGCAGGCAGGAGCUGGCUAUUCUGUUCCUUGCCCUGUCCCCAGCACCGAGGACAGUGCCAGGCAUGGAGGAAAUAAUUGCUGAAUAAAGAAAUAAAAUCGACAUUCUAUGAGACAUAAAAAAAAAAAAAAAAAAAAAAAA